rnacentral:rRNA from 1 species
AGCGAACGCUGGCGGCAGGCCUAACACAUGCAAGUCGAGCGCCCAGCAAUGGGAGCGGCAGACGGGUGAGUAACGCGUGGGGAUGUGCCCAAUGGUGCGGAAUAACCCAGGGAAACUUGGAUUAAUACCGCAUGUGCCCUUCGGGGGAAAGAUUUAUCGCCAUUGGAUCAACCCGCGUCUGAUUAGCUAGUUGGUGAGGUAAAGGCUCACCAAGGCGACGAUCAGUAGCUGGUCUGAGAGGAUGAUCAGCCACACUGGGACUGAGACACGGCCCAGACUCCUACGGGAGGCAGCAGUGGGGAAUAUUGGACAAUGGGCGCAAGCCUGAUCCAGCCAUGCCGCGUGAGUGAUGAAGGCCUUAGGGUUGUAAAGCUCUUUCGCCGGUGAAGAUAAUGACGGUAACCGGAGAAGAAGCCCCGGCUAACUUCGUGCCAGCCGCCGCAGUAACAC